rnacentral:rRNA from 1 species
GAUGAACGCUGGCGGCGUGCUUAACACAUGCAAGUCGAACGAUGAAGCUCAGCUUGCUGGGUGGAUUAGUGGCGAACGGGUGAGUAACACGUGAGUAACCUGCCCUUAACUCUGGGAUAAGCCUUGGAAACUAGGUCUAAUACCGGAUAGGAGCGUCCACCGCAUGGUGGGUGUUGGAAAGAUUUAUCGGUUUUGGAUGGACUCGCGGCCUAUCAGCUUUUUGGUGGGGUAAUGGCUCACCAAGGCGACGACGGGUAGCCGGCCUGAGAGGGUGACCGGCCACACUGGGACUGAGACACGGCCCAGACUCCUACGGGAGGCAGCAGUGGGGAGUAUUGCACAAUGGGCGAAAGCCUGAUGCAGCGACGCCGCGUGAGGGAUGACGGCCUUCGGGUUGUAAACCUCUUUCAGUAGGGAAGAAGCGAAAGUGACGGUACCUGCAGAAGAAGCACCGGCUAACUACGUG